UACGUAGGGAGCGAGCGUUGUCCGGAUUUACUGGGUGUAAAGGGUGCGCAGGCGGCUCUGCAAGUCAGGCGUGAAAGCUAGGGGCUCAACCCCUAAAUUGCGCUUGAAACUGUGGAGCUUGAGUGAAGUAGAGGCAGGCGGAAUUCCCGGUGUAGCGGUGAAAUGCGUAGAGAUCGGGAGGAACACCAGUGGCGAAGGCGGCCUGCUGGGCUUUAACUGACGCUCAGGCACGAAAGCAUGGGUAGCAAACAGG
rnacentral:rRNA from 1 species